rnacentral:tRNA from 3 species
GUCCUGGUAGCUCAGCAGGAUAGAGCAACAGCCUCCUAAGCUGUAGGUCGGGAGUUCGAAUCUCCCCUGGGACGCUA